GGAGCGAACAAGCGCGGUGGGCACGGCCCCGCUCCCGGCGCAGGCCGGUAACCGCAGGGGAGGUACAAUGGUCACCCAAACCCACAGAUACCGCCUUUUUCUCAAGGACUCGUGCCCAGAGCAUCCAGCCGCCCCCUCUGGUACCGCACGAGUCAGGGCACGGAGGUGAUCCGGACGAGUGGAUUUACUACACUCACGGCUUUUCAUCUGCACUGUGAAUGGUCACAGGGGAGGAACCCUGCCCACACCUGGCGUCAGGGCUGGACGCGGGGUGCAGAUGUGCGGUGGCACAGCAGAGACCUCGCGGGGAUGGGACCGGUGCUCCCAGCCUGCAGCACAGAAGAGACCGCUGUACCUGGGGAUAUUCGAAUUUUGGCUAGUUGACAGCACAAGCCCAUCCUACAGGUGACCACAGCAAUUGGCCAUCGACAUGCAAGUUAAAAAGCAGCCCUGGGCAGCCGUGUCCCAGCAAUGACCAGCUGAGCUCCCUGGGCACAGCCGUGCAACAGCACACAUCAGGUCUAGCCGGCAUUUUCACUACUGCAGCUGAAGAGCCUUCUAAAAGUAAAGCAGACUACAACAAAACAAAACAAUAGAAGAUUCACAAGGCGGUACUAUAAUAUUUUAAAUUUUAAGGUGACAUUAAAUUUCAUACAAAUAAACUUCCAAAAAUAUUUUGCAAACUCUGGCGUAUGACUAUGAUACAAUAUGUACAAAUAAAAUACCAGAAUGGUUA